rnacentral:rRNA from 1 species
UACAGAGGGUGCGAGCGUUAAUCGGAAUUACUGGGCGUAAAGCGCACGUAGGUGGCGACGUAAGCCGGGUGUGAAAGCCCCGGGCUCAACCUGGGAAUUGCAUUCGAGACUGCAUUGCUGGAGUACGGAAGAGGAAGGCGGAAUUCCCGGUGUAGCGGUGAAAUGCGUAGAUAUCGGGAGGAACAUCAGUGGCGAAGGCGGCCUUCUGGUCCAGUACUGACAUUCAAGUGCGAAAGCGUGGGGAGCAAACAGG